rnacentral:rRNA from 1 species
AUUGAACGCUGGCGGCAGGCCUAACACAUGCAAGUCGAACGAGUGGCGGACGGGUGAGUAAUGCAUGGGAAUCUAGCUUAUGGAGGGGGCUAACUACGGGAAACUGUAGCUAAUACCGCGUACCAUAGGAUGAGCCCAAGUGGUAUUGGGUGGUUGGGGGGGUAAAGGCUCACGAAGCCGACGAUCUCUAGGUGUUCUGAGAGGAUGACCAUCCCCAUGGGAACGGGACCACGGCCAAGACUCCUCCGGGAGGCGGCAGUGGGGAAUAUUGGGAAAUGGGGGAAACCUGACGCAGCCAUGCCGCGUGAAUGAAGAAGGCUUUCGGUUUGUAAAGUUCUUUCGGUAGCGAGGCGUUACCUACAGAAGAAGCACCGGCUAACUCCGUGCCAGCAGCCGCGGUAAUAC